GACGAACGCUGGCGGCGUGCUUAACACAUGCAAGUCGAACGGAAAGGCCCUGCUUUUGUGGGGUGCUCGAGUGGCGAACGGGUGAGUAACACGUGAGUAACCUGCCCUUGACUUUGGGAUAACUUCAGGAAACUGGGGCUAAUACCGGAUAGGAGCUCCUGCUGCAUGGUGGUGGUUGGAAAGUUUCGGCGGUUGGGGAUGGACUCGCGGUUUAUCAGCUUGUUGGUGGGGUAGUGGCUUACCAAGGCUUUGACGGGUAGCCGGCCUGAGAGGGUGACCGGCCAAAUUGGGACUGAGAUACGGCCCAGACUCCUACGGGAGGCAGCAGUGGGGAAUAGUGCACACUGGGCGGAAGCCUGAUGCAGCAACGCCGCGUGCGGGAUGACGGCCUUCGGGUUGUAAACCGCUUUCGCCUGUGACGAAGCGUGAGUGACGGUAAUGGGUAAAGAAGCCCCGGCUACCUACGUG
rnacentral:rRNA from 1 species